rfam:Myotis lucifugus cont2.35740, whole genome shotgun sequence.
GGUGGUUCUCGGGUGAUGCACCCGGAAUCAGGCUCCCUUCUCUCUGGUUCUGGGUGCAUCACCCAAGAACUGCA